AAUGAAAUACAACUUUCAGCAACGGAUCUCUUGGCUCUCGCAUCGAUGAAGAACGCAGCGAAUUGCGAUAAGUAAUGUGAAUUGCAGAUUUCCAGUGAAUCAUCGAAUCUUUGAACGCAUCUUGCGCUCCUUGGCAUUCCGAGGAGCAUGCCUGUUUGAGUGUCAUUGAAUUCUCAACCAUGUCUUGCAUGGCUUGGAUCUUGGGGGUCUGCUGGCAUCGUCAGCUCUCCUGAAAUGCAUUAGCAAAAUGGCAGACAUACACGGCCUUCCGACGUGAUAAUGAUCGUCAUGGCUGGAGUGUCAGACGCCCGUGUUGCUUCCAAUCAAGUCGAGUGUUUAGCUACUAGUCGGUCGUGAGGCUGGCGAACGCACGGGCACCUACACCUUGACAACUUGACCUCAAAUCAGGUAGGACUACCCGCUGAACUUAAGCAUAUCAAUAA
rnacentral:rRNA from 1 species